rnacentral:rRNA from 1 species
CCUGGUUGAUCCUGCCAGUAUUCAUAUGCUUG